AUGAACGCUGGCGGCGUGCCUAAUACAUGCAAGUCGAGCGAACGGACGAGAAGCUUGCUUCUCUGAUGUUAGCGGCGGACGGGUGAGUAACACGUGGAUAACCUACCUAUAAGACUGGGAUAACUUCGGGAAACCGGAGCUAAUACCGGAUAAUAUUUUGAACCGCCUGGUUCAAAAGUGAAAGACGGUCUUGCUGUCACUUAUAGAUGGAUCCGCGCUGCAUUAGCUAGUUGGUAAGGUAACGGCUUACCAAGGCAACGAUGCAUAGCCGACCUGAGAGGGUGAUCGGCCACACUGGAACUGAGACACGGUCCAGACUCCUACGGGAGGCAGCAGUAGGGAAUCUUCCGCAAUGGGCGAAAGCCUGACGGAGCAACGCCGCGUGAGUGAUGAAGGUCUUCGGAUCGUAAAACUCUGUUAUUAGGGAAGAACAUAUGUGUAAGUAACUGUGCACAUCUUGACGGUACCUAAUCAGAAAGCCACGGCUAACUACGUG
rnacentral:rRNA from 1 species